GGGUGACUAGUCUAGUGGUCAGGACGGUUCGUUGUGGUUGUUGUCUUCUGCUUCCCGAACAAACCCCGGUUCGAUUCCGGGGUCGCCCA